GUAAGGUCACACCCGUUCCCAUACCGAACACGGAAGUUAAGCUCUUUAGCGCCAAUGGUAGUUGGGACUUUGUCCCUGUGAGAGUAGGACGUUGCCAGGC
rnacentral:rRNA from 1 species